CCUGGUUCAGCCGGUAAAGAAGCUGCCCGCUGAAGCUCCAGCUAAAGAAGCAAUCUGCACCGCAGAAAAGAUGAAGAAAAAGAAGAAGAAGAAGAAGGACCAGAUCCUGGGAUUCUUCAGAAGAUCCUGGCAGACCAUGAAGAGGAUCUGCAACAAGAGAUCAAACAAAGUUUCCCCCCUCUAAUUUCCCCACAAUCCCCCAAAUGAUAUUCCCUCCUCAGCUAUAUAGCACAUUCUCAGACAAUUCUCCAUGUAAGAUCAUUUUGGAUUUUAACGUCAUGUUUUACACUUUGGAUACAUUCAUGACAGGAACGGUAGUUACUCAUUACACGAGAUUCAUCAGGUCACAAGGUUAUAUCGAACACAGUCAUGGACAAUUUAGUAUCUCCAAUACACCUCACUUGCAUGUUUUUGGACUGUGGGAGGAAACCGGAGCACCGAAGGAAACCCAUGCGGACACGGGGAGAACAUGCACACACAGAGAGGACCCGGACCGGACAAUAAAUUGUGUUCCAGUGGGAAGUAAGAACAGAAAUGAGUCUCUCCAUCAUUAAAUGCUGUAAUUUCGCUGUACACGUUUCUUUUUUGGAGAGCGCCAUUUGUCUCCUGUCUCACUCGUCUUUUUCUCAACUUUCUCCUGCACAGUUGUCUGUAUCUCUCCCUUAAUUUUUUCUACAUUCGCUAUCUUUCUUUUAAUUUCCACCGUCUUUUCACAUGUAACUCGCCUCUAACUCUCUCAACUGUCUGCACUGCAGUCGCAGUGUUUACCGGCUGGAAUGCACAGACUUGAUUGGCUGAGUGGUGUCAAGUGAUUGGUUCUCAUCCGCUAAACCGCUACCGUAAAGACUACAAAAGCUGCGCCGGUUAAAAUAGAAGCGCUCCGUCAGGUUUCAAAUCCUAACUUUCUGUUUUGGCUAUAGGUCCGGGUCCGUAUGGGACAGCUUCUGGGUCCGGACCCGGACCGUGGUCCGCCUGUUAGUGACCUCUGAUCUAGAGAAUCGAAUCGAACCGUGAAGAAGCUCAGCAGAAGCUCAGCAGUGGAUCCGAACCAACAUUCACAACAGAGACUUUCAUUCAUACUGAGAUUCUUCAGGUUUCUUUUAGGUUUUAAUUCUUAUAAAAAAAACAGAAGCUGGAAAAAGUCAAAUAAACACAAAGAAACUAAAACAUAAAAGAAUGAAAAGAUUUUCUAGUAAAGAGGUGUGUGUGUGUGUGUGUGUGUGUGUGUGU